rnacentral:tRNA from 4 species
GCCCGAGUGGCGGAAUGGUAGACGCAGCGGAUUCAAAAUCCGUCGCCGCAAGGUAUGCGAGUUCGAGUCUCGCCUCGGGCACCA